rnacentral:rRNA from 1 species
GAUGAACGCUGGCGGCGUGCCUAACACAUGCAAGUCGAGCGAAGCGGGGACGGGUGAGUAACACGUGGAUAACCUCCUAUAAGACUGGGAUUACCUCGGGAAACCGGAGCUAAACCGGAUAAUUAUAGCUGGAUCCGAGCUGCAUUAGCUAGUUGGUAAGGUAACGGCUUACCAGGGCAACGAUGCAUAGCCGACCUGAGAGGGUGAUCGGCAAAACUGGAACUAAGAAACGGGCAAGACUCCGACGGGAGACAGCAGUGGGGAAUCUUACGAAAGAGGCAAAAGCAUGACGGAGCAACGCCGCGUGAGUGAUGAAGGUCUUCGGGUCGUAAAACUCUGUUAUUAGGGAAGCGGUACCUAAUCAGAAAGCCACGGCUAACUACGUGCCAGCAGCCGCGGUAAUUC